GGCUGUGGCUUGGAUCCUGUGUGGCUGUGGUGUAGGCCAGAUGCUGCAGGUCCAAUUUGACCCCUAGCCUGGGAACUUCCAUAUGCUGUAGUUGUGGCCCUAAAAAUGAAAAAAUAGAUCUGUCUUAUUGUAUUCUAAUAUAUGUUACUCUUAGAUAUUCUAUGUCUAAAUAAAAGAUUCAGUGGCUUGAGAUUCACAUUAAAUAACAUCAUAUUAAAGGCAUAGGCAAGUGUCUGGCAAAUAAACUGUUUUAACAUUUUUACAGCUCAGUAUUUCCUAAAUUUAUUCCACAGAAUACAACUUCUAGGAAAUGGUGACCAUGUAAGAAUAUAUACCUCUAGGAGUUCCCGUUGUGGCGCACGGCCCAAGAAAUGGCAAAAAAAAAGAAAAAAGAAUAUAUACCUCUAGGAGUUUCCAGGUGGCUAGGGGUUAAGGAUCCAGCAUUGUCACUAUUGUGGCUUGGGUCAACUACUGUGGCACAGGUUUGAAAAAAAGACCUCUAACUACUGCGCAAAUUAGUUUGGCACAAAAUUAUAUUUUAAUCAUCAGCCUUUUCCCUCUACUCAGUAUGAUUGUUUAUGAAAAGUUAGAUAUUCCAGAUCCUUUUUCCUUCCUCUCCUUAGCCAGGGGAAUUAGUAUUGGUGAAUAUUUGAGAUUUUGUGUUGUCCUUCAUUAACCGUGCUUAGGGGCCAUCGUUUUGAAUUGGAGACGUUCCCAGGCUAGGGGUCCAAUCGGAGCUGUACCACUGGCCUACACCAGAGCCACAGCAACGCGGGAUCCGAGCCGCAUCUGCAACCUACACCACAGCUCACGGCACCGCCAGAUCGUUAACCCACUGAGCAAGGCCAGGGACCGAACCCGCAACCUCAUAGUUCCUAGUCGGAUUGUUAACCACUGCGCCACGACGGGAACUCCCACAAGAGUCUUCUGUGGACAUUUUCUCAUACUUCCAUAUGCAGACCUUUAUUCUUUUUCCCCAUCCCGUCUCCAGUUGUGACUUUCAUAUAGUUAAAUUUAUUUGCUUAAAGAGAGCUAUACAUCUAUCUUUUUUAAAAAAAUUUUUAUUAUUUUUAAAAUUUUUUAAAGAGAGCUACCAGUCGGGAGUUCCCGUUGUGGGUUGUAGCUCAGAAGUAACGAACCCGACUAGCAUCCAUGAGGAUGUGGGUUUGAUCGCUGGCCCUUCUCAGUGGGUUAAGGAUCUGGUGUGGCUGUGGCUGUGGUGUAGGCCGGCAGCUACAUAUAGCUCUGAUUCGACCCCUAGCCUGGGAACUUUCAUAUGCCACAGGUGUGGCCCUAAAAAGAGAAAAAAAGAAAAAAAAAAAAAA
rnacentral:lncRNA from 1 species